CUACAUCGUGGCCUUUUGGAUGACCAGGGGAACCAGAUCAGAACGGAAAGAACCGGAUCUGGAGUCCAAGUAUCUGGAGGGAGCCGGACUCCGGUCAGAUCCGGGAGCUUCAGCUGCUGCAGGCGUUCAGAUGAAUUAUGAUGGCCAGAGGUUUAUCUCAGGAGGAAGAUUUCUCGUCACAUGAAAACGUCUCCAUGGUUACAGUCGUGUUGUAAUUAUUUUACUCACUCUUGCUUACACCAGUAGGUGUGCAAUUACAUUUCAAUUGUUUACAGUUUACUGUAAAAUCGUCAAACAUAUCAAAGCUUUCAGAGAGAACCGCUUAAAGCCGAGAAGUCCGACCUGCAGAGGCUAAAAUAACAUGUGGGAAGUGAUUUAGUUGUUUCACAGUAAUGCCUGAGGGGCCAAAAGUCCAGCUGCAGAGAUCAUCAGCAGGGACCCAGGGCGUCUUUAAACACUUCGUGCAGUUUAUUUCAGCCCAGAAACAAGAAAUGAUAGACAGCACACCCAAGACAACUGCAAAAGCAGCAGAUGUGAAGGAAAGAUUUAAAGCAGAAACUGUGAAUUCAGCAGUCUGUCCUCCCUGACAGCCAAUCCAAACGUUUGAGAGGAGCGCAGCGUUCAGAGACAUUCAUCACAAACCCCAGAAAGAACCCGAGCGCCGAUUCACAGAAACCGACCGAGCCACAGAACCAGAACGGCUCCGGGAGGAACAACGCGGCGCGUCUGUUUCCUACUUCACAGUUCAUUUAAUUCAGUUCAGUUCAAUUUAAUUCAGUUCCUGAUCAGGGGGACAUGGUUGCCACGGCAACGAGCUCAGAGACCUCAGUGUCAGUUUGGGUCCAAAUCCACAGUUUGUAUUAAAAUGUGGAAUUGAACAGGUUUGAUCAUCUGCAGGACAUCCUGACCUCUAGGCUCAAGUGGCAGACGAAGAAACUGGAUUUUAUUCCAGCUGAACUGGUGAAUGACCAGUUGGGCCGUCUGGUCCAACCAAGCAGACCAGAGCGCCAUCGCAUCACUAAAUGCAGAUGCAGAAACAUUCUAGAUUCUGCAUCAUGCUGUGUGUUUCAGAAUAGAUGUAAAAUUGUUUUUACUGGUUUUUGAAGUGUUAGUAGUUCCAGUCCAUAUGAAGCUACCGGGAUCCUCAGGAUAAACUCUACCAGAUCUAACAGAACGGGCUCAGAAUGAGCUGAACCGGGUCACUUCCUGGUUCUUCUCCCUAUUCUUAAGGUUCCCCAAGAGUCAGCAGAACAACGAUUGGAAAUAUUUUCAAUUAAACUAAGACAAUGUUC